GAGUUUGAUCCUGGCUCAGGAUGAACGCUAGCGGCAGGCUUAACACAUGCAAGUCGAGGGGUAACAGGAGUAGCUUGCUACUUGCUGACGACCGGCGCACGGGUGCGUAACGCGUAUACAAUCUACCUUUUGCUGAGGGAUAGCCCAGAGAAAUUUGGAUUAAGACCUCAUGGUAUAUAGGAAUGGCAUCAUUCUUAUCUUAAAUUUAUUGGUAAAAGAUGGCUAUGCGUCCUAUUAGUUAGUUGGUAAGGUAACGGCUUACCAAGACAGCGAUAGGUAGGGGUCCUGAGAGGGAGAUCCCCCACACUGGUACUGAGACACGGACCAGACUCCUACGGGAGGCAGCAGUGAGGAAUAUUGGGCAAUGGAGGCAACUCUGACCCAGCCAUGCCACGUGCAGGAAGACGGCCCUAUGGGUUGUAAACUGCUUUUAUACAGGAAGAAACACUGGUAUGUAUACCAGCUUGACGGUACUGUAAGAAUAAGGACCGGCUAACCCCGUGCCAGCAGCCGCGGUAAUACGGAGGGUCCGAGCGUUAUCCGGAAUCAUUGGGUUUAAAGGGUCCGCAGGCGGUCAAUUAAGUCAGAGGUGAAAUACCGUAGCUCAACUAUGGAACUGCCUUUGAUACUGGUUGACUUGAGUCAUAUGGAAGUAGAUAGAAUGUGUAGUGUAGCGGUGAAAUGCAUAGAUAUUACAUAGAAUAUCGAUUGCGAAGGCAGAUUACUAAUAAUAUACUGACGCUGAUGGACGAAAGCGUGGGGAGCGAACGGGAUUAGAUACCCCGGUAGUCCACGCCGUAAACGAUGGAUACUAGCUGUUGGGUUUUCGGACUCAGCGGCCAAGCGAAAGUGAUAAGUAUCCCACCUGGGGAGUACGAUCGCAAGAUUGAAACUCAAAGGAAUUGACGGGGGCCCGCACAAGCGGUGGAGCAUGUGGUUUAAUUCGAUGAUACGCGAGGAACCUUACCAGGGCUUAAAUGUAAGUUGCAUGAUUUAGAGAUAGAUCUUUCUUCGGACUACUUACAAGGUGCUGCAUGGUUGUCGUCAGCUCGUGCCGUGAGGUGUCAGGUUAAGUCCUAUAACGAGCGCAACCCCUGUUGUUAGUUGCCAUCGAGUAAUGUCGGGAACUCUAACAAGACUGCCGGUGCAAACCGUGAGGAAGGUGGGGAUGACGUCAAAUCAUCACGGCCCUUACGUCCUGGGCUACACACGUGCUACAAUGGCCGGUACAAUGAGCAGCCACCCCGCGAGGGGGAGCGAAUCUAUAAAACCGGUCACAGUUCGGAUCGGAGUCUGCAACUCGACUCCGUGAAGCUGGAAUCGCUAGUAAUCGGAUAUCAGCCAUGAUCCGGUGAAUACGUUCCCGGGCCUUGUACACACCGCCCGUCAAGCCAUGGAAGCUGGGGGUACCUGAAGUCGGUGACCGCAAGGAGCUGCCUAGGGUAAAACUAGUAACUGGGGCUAAGUCGUAACAAGGUAGCCGU
rnacentral:rRNA from 1 species